rnacentral:rRNA from 1 species
UGCAGUCGAACGAGCUUCCGUUGAAUGACGUGCUUGCACUGAUUUCAACAAUGAAGCGAGUGGCGAACUGGUGAGUAACACGUGGGGAAUCUGCCCAGAAGCAGGGGAUAACACUUGGAAACAGGUGCUAAUACCGUAUAACAACAAAAUCCGCAUGGAUUUUGUUUGAAAGGUGGCUUCGGCUAUCACUUCUGGAUGAUCCCGCGGCGUAUUAGUUAGUUGGUGAGGUAAAGGCCCACCAAGACGAUGAUACGUAGCCGACCUGAGAGGGUAAUCGGCCACAUUGGGACUGAGACACGGCCCAAACUCCUACGGGAGGCAGCAGUAGGGAAUCUUCCACAAUGGACGAAAGUCUGAUGGAGCAAUGCCGCGUGAGUGAAGAAGGGUUUCGGCUCGUAAAACUCUGUUGUUAAAGAAGAACACCUUUGAGAGUAACUGUUCAAGGGUUGACGGUAUUUAACCAGAAAGCCACGGCUAACUACGUGCCAGCAGCCGCGGUAAUACGUAGGUGGCAAGCGUUGUCCGGAUUUAUUGGGCGUAAAGCGAGCGCAGGCGGUUUUUUAAGUCUGAUGUGAAAGCCUUCGGCUUAACCGGAGAAGUGCAUCGGAAACUGGGAGACUUGAGUGCAGAAGAGGACAGUGGAACUCCAUGUGUAGCGGUGGAAUGCGUAGAUAUAUGGAAGAACACCAGUGGCGAAGGCGGCUGUCUAGUCUGUAACUGACGCUGAGGCUCGAAAGCAUGGGUAGCGAACAGGAUUAGAUACCCUGGUAGUCCAUGCCGUAAACGAUGAGUGCUAAGUGUUGGAGGGUUUCCGCCCUUCAGUGCUGCAGCUAACGCAUUAAGCACUCCGCCUGGG